AACGAACGCUGGCGGCAUGCCUAACACAUGCAAGUCGAACGAGAUCUUCGGGUCUAGUGGCGCACGGGUGCGUAACGCGUGGGAAUCUGCCCUUUGGUUCGGAAUAACAGUUGGAAACGACUGCUAAUACCGGAUGAUGACGAAAGUCCAAAGGUUUAACGCCAGAGGAUGAGCCCGCGUAGGAUUAGCUAGUUGGUGUGGUAAAGGCGCACCAAGGCGACGAUCCUUAGCUGGUCUGAGAGGAUGAUCAGCCACACUGGGACUGAGACACGGCCCAGACUCCUACGGGAGGCAGCAGUGGGGAAUAUUGGACAAUGGGCGAAAGCCUGAUCCAGCAAUGCCGCGUGAGUGAUGAAGGCCUUAGGGUUGUAAAGCUCUUUUACCCGGGAUGGUAAUGACAGUACCGGGAGAAUAAGCUCCGGCUAACUCCGUGCCAGCCGCCGCCGUAA
rnacentral:rRNA from 1 species